GCAAGAGUGUUCUAGAAGCCUACGGAGCAAUGGUGUAACUGGUGAAGAAGAUGAUAUCUCCUUACUCUUCGAUCUUGAGGACUCACUACACCAACGCCGCCUCUGUUCACUUCCUUCAGGGAAAACCAUGUUAUCAGGAUCUUCAAAACACUAAUUUCUUAAGGACUCGGUUAACUCAGUAGUCGUUUGAGCAUAAAUCGAAUACCAGGUGAUUGACUGAUUGGCUCCAAAAGGUCCAAAUUUUAAGCUAGAUACAUGAAAGGAUGGGAUCUAUGCUAUUAUUGUUGCAGUUUUGCCUUUUCAGUUGUUGUGUAAAUGAUUAACUAUUUUUACUAAAUCUUCAAUAAGCAAUUCCUAUUUUUAAUUGGAGUGACGGUUCAAGCAUCAAGCUCCAUGAGGAGAUGUUGAGGAUGACUUUUAUCGCAUAAAAGACAAAGUUUUAAAGUGGAGAGCUGCCACGGAAAUAUUGUGCGACAAGAAAGUCUCGCUAAAAUUCGACCAUCAAACCAGCUAUGACCGGUUCCAUUCAUUGGAUAUUAUUAUUGAAUACCUACCGGAUCAGAUUGAAUUCAUCCAAUGUUUUGAUUC